rnacentral:rRNA from 1 species
GACGAACGCUGGCGGCGUGCCUAAUACAUGCAAGUUGAGCGCUGAAGGUUGGUACUUGUACCAACUGGAUGAGCAGCGAACGGGUGAGUAACGCGUGGGGAAUCUGCCUUUGAGCGGGGGACAACAUUUGGAAACGAAUGCUAAUACCGCAUAAAAACUUUAAACACAAGUUUUAAGUUUGAAAGAUGCAAUUGCAUCACUCAAAGAUGAUCCCGCGUUGUAUUAGCUAGUUGGUGAGGUAAAGGCUCACCAAGGCGAUGAUACAUAGCCGACCUGAGAGGGUGAUCGGCCACAUUGGGACUGAGACACGGCCCAAACUCCUACGGGAGGCAGCAGUAGGGAAUCUUCGGCAAUGGACGAAAGUCUGACCGAGCAACGCCGCGUGAGUGAAGAAGGUUUUCGGAUCGUAAAACUCUGUUGGUAGAGAAGAACGUUGGUGAGAGUGGAAAGCUCAUCAAGUGACGGUAACUACCCAGAAAGGGACGGCUAACUAUGUG